rnacentral:lncRNA from 1 species
CCCACCCAUAAAAGGAGGCCAGCACCAGGGCUGGGGGCUCAGCCUGUGGAGGUGACUCCAUUGGGCCCCCACCGGUGCGAAAUAAACAGUCUUUUCUGAUUCCCUGAGUGCGCGUCUCUUGUCUCCUCCUGGACGUCGAGUAUUUGCUGGAACAUCCUCACCUUCUCCCUUUAAAAACAGUUCCCACCAUUGUCUCAUAGCAGACAGCCUCUCCUCUGCUGUCCUGCCCGCCCGCCCACUCCCCUGCAGCGUAUUCAAUAAACUUCUAUUCUCCGGUGAAUCCUUUCGGGGGCCCACACCACCAGCUUCCUCCCAAUCGUCGCCCCGCUUUUGGCGGAAGCCAUCUGAACGAGAGAGAGAGACAGACACCACACAAGAUAACACCCUAGGGAAGAAUUCUGACCGGCAUAUGUUAUGGACUGAAUGUUUACGUCCCCCAAAAAUGCAGAGGUUGAGAUCCUAACCCCCAAGAGUAUGGUACAGGAGAUAGGGCAUUUGGGAAGUGAUUAGGUCAUGAGGGUGGAACCCUUAUAAAUGAGGGUUCCUUAUGAAUGAGGGCCCUUAUGAAAAGAGCCCCAGAGAGCUCCCCUCUCUCUUCUGCCAUGUGAGGACACAGCCAUCUAUGAACAAGGAAGCAAGACCUCACCAGACACCUAAUAAGCCAGCGCCUUCAUCUUGGACUUCCCAGCCUCCUCCAGUCUGUGGCGCCUAGGAAUUCCCAGUCUUUGGUAUUCUAUCAUAGCAACCUGGACGAAGUAAGACACAUAUCUUUAUUCACUUGCUCAUUUGGAUUUAUUGUAGUGACUGACCAGGGGGUGGUCCCAUGAGGAGCCAUGGGAUGGUCCCAUCCAUUCCCAGGAUGGUUCAUGUGCAUGUUCCCACGUGUAGCCAGCAACGUGGGAUAAUGUGACUGGCUACUGCCCACCUUCUUUGAGGCCAAGGAAUCUGAACAAAACUCAUAUUCUGUCAGUUGGGAAGAGGAGAAGGAAAUAGAUGUUUCCAGGCCAUAAACAGUCUCCACCACAUUCUACGUAUCGGUUAGCAACUGCCCCACAACACACUACCCCAAAACCCAGUGACUUAAAACAACAGGCAGUCGCGUCUAUACAGCUCGGCUGAGCGGUUCCGCUCAUCUCAGCUGGGCUCACACAGACAUCAGUUAGGUGGCUCUGCUGAUCUAGGCUGGGCGCUCACAUGAUGGGAAGUGGGCUGGCAAGACUGAGGUACCCUGACUCAUUUCCCAACAUGGUCUCAUUCUCCAGCAGGCUAACUUGGGCUCGGUCGCAUGAUGGGAUCAGGGCUCCAAGGGAAACGGUAAAAGCCAAAAGGCCCUCUUGAGACCUCGCUCCAAAACCACCAUUCCCUCAGUUCUGCUGGAGGCCACUGGCCAAAUCAAGACAUCGGACCAGCCCACACGGAAGGGCCAGAGAAAGUACUCUGCCUCUUGAUGGGAGGGGCUGCAAAGUUACACUGUGAAGGGGAGUCAGAGAAUGAGAGAAAUAAUUACAGCUUUUUGUGCAAUCGGUUCACAUAACUUUUUUCACAUAACGUUUUUUAUAGAGAGUAAACUUUGCAUAUGUUUAUAACGCUACACCAUAUUUAUAAGUGUAGAUGGAUCACAACUGAGACGAAAGACUGAUCGUGCAAAGGGGAAGUGCACGAUCCUGACAACCACCCACCACACACACACAAACACACAUUUUAUGUAAUCUUAUCAUUUGGAACCCUGCAUUUUGGUGGCGGUUUUACUGCAUUUUUACACUGUGCACACACGGUCUAUAAGGCCAGCCAUCACCUCUCCAAGGAUCGCAGAUUAAGCAAAGCUAAAUUUACUGUAGCCACUGGAAUGAGGAAGGACAUCAUCUUGACAGGCAGGGUCUUUGUAGAACCUCAAAGUGGAGACAUUAGCGUCGGGGAGGAAAAAUUUUUUUUCUCUACCUUCUUAAGUUUUGAUCUGGGGCCUGUGAAUUAAACUAGCACAAGACAGAUUAACAGGGGAAAAGCCACACGUCUGAUUAACCUUUGCAUGCAUGGGCGUUCACAGAAAGGAGUGAAAACUCCAAGCGGCAGUUAGACUCAGGGGCUUGUAUACUCUUUUAACAAAGGAAAAUGGGUUUGGGCUCCAAGGGACAAUAAAAUAUGGGGGGAUAACUAUGAAAUAUAUGGA